rnacentral:rRNA from 1 species
AGAGUUUGAUCCUGGCUCAGGACGAACGCUGGCGGCGUGCCUAAUACAUGCAAGUCGAGCGAGCUGAACCAGCAGAUUCACUUCGGUGAUGACGCUGGGAACGCAAGCGGCGGAUGGGUGAGUAACACGUGGGCAACCUGCCCUAAAGUCUGGGAUACCACUUGGAAACAGGUGCUAAUACCGGAUAACAACAAUAGCUGCAUGGCUAUUGCUUAAAAGGCGGCGAAAGCUGUCGCUAAAGGAUGGACCCGCGGUGCAUUAGCUAGUUGGUAAGGUAAUGGCUUACCAAGGCGACGAUGCAUAGCCGAGUUGAGAGACUGAUCGGCCACAUUGGGACUGAGACACGGCCCAAACUCCUACGGGAGGCAGCAGUAGGGAAUCUUCCACAAUGGGCGAAAGCCUGAUGGAGCAACGCCGCGUGAGUGAAGAAGGUUUUCGGAUCGUAAAGCUCUGUUGUUGGUGAAGAAGGAUAGAGGUAGUAACUGGCCCCUAUUUGACGGUAAUCAACCAGAAAGUCACGGCUAACUACGUGCCAGCAGCCGCGGU